GCUCCGGUGGGCAAAAGGCAAAGUCGCCUGAUUUAGGAUCAGGAGUUCUGCGGGUUCGAGUCCCGCUCGGAGUA
rnacentral:tRNA from 1 species